UAAUCUAGUUUCCCUCGUCUUUUUUGUUAAGUCACAUACUUGUUUUGAAUAAUUCUCAUUUAAAAUUUUUAACAAGAAGCCUAAACAUUUCUCGGAAUAAUUGUUUUAAAAAAUGCAUGGAGUUAUAAUAUUUCUUAUCGGCGGUAUUGUUGGUUUUCUAAUUGCUAAAAACAUUGAUCGUCUCCAAAUAGAUUUGAGAAGUUGAAGUUUAAAUACCAGAAAAAAUGACGCAUCUUAUAUCCUUUGCCCUAGGCAUUGUAGUUGGCAUGAUGGUCUCGAGAAGAUGCAAUCCAUAAUCGAAACGAACAAAAUUUAAUAAUGUUGUAAGAUGCUUGAAUGAAAAUGGAAAUUUACUAACUUUGCCACAAAGCUAAUUCGAGUCUCUUAAUUCAUUAAAAUUGAGCAUAAAGUUGAUGCUGUGUAUCGAUGGC